CCUACGGGGCGCUGCAGUGGGGAAUAUUGGGCAAUGGAGGCAACUCUGACGCAGCAACGCCGCGUGAAUGAUGAAGGUCUUCGGAUUGUAAAGUUCUGUGAGGGGGGAUGAACACAAUGACGGUAACACAAUAGCAAGCCACGGCUAACUACGUGCCAGCAGCCGCGGUAAUACGUAGGUGGAAAGCGUUAUCCGGAAUGACUGGGCGUAAAGGGUGCGUAGGUGGUGUAGGAAGUUGGCGGUGUCAUUCCGGGGCUCAACCUCGGCGCUACCGCCCAAACUAUUAGACUAGAGUGCAGGAGUGGUAAGUUGAAUUCCUUGUGUAGCGGUGCAAUGCGUAGAUAUUCGGAG
rnacentral:rRNA from 1 species